rnacentral:rRNA from 1 species
AACGAACGCUGGCAGCGUGGAUUAGGCAUGCAAGUCGUACGAGGGUGGCUUUGAUAGCAAUACGGCCACCCGAGUGGCGGAAGGGCGAGUAACGCCUGAGCAACCUGCCCCCUUGCUGGGGAUACCUCGGGGAAACCCGAGUUAAUACCGAAUGUGACCAGGGCCGGCAUCGGCCCGAAGUGAAAGGCGGGGACCGCAAGGCCUGCCGCAAGGGGAGGGGUUCAUGUACCAUCAGCUAGUCGGUGGGGUAACGGCCCACCGAGGCUACGACGGUUAGCUGGUCUGAGAGGACGACCAGCCGCACUGGGACUGAGAUACUGCCCAGACUCCUACGGGAGGCUGCAGUCGAGGAUCAUUCGCAAUGGGCGCAAGCCUGACGAUGCGACGCUGCGUGGAGGAUGAAAGGGCUUCGGCUCCGUAAACUCCUGUCAUGGAGGGAAAAAGCUCCCCGCUGUCAACAACGGGCGGGGGUCGAUGGUACUUCAAGAGGAAGCCACGGGCUAACUCUGUGCCAGCAGCCGCGGUUAUACAGAGGUGGCGAGCGUUGUUCGGAUUUACUGGGCGUAAAGGCGCGUAGAGCUUGUUGUGUCGACCGGAAUCUCCGGGUCACCCCGAAGUAGGGUCGUAAAAUGUCUCGAGAUCUCUCAACGGGGGAUGGUGGA